UACGUAGGUGGCGAGCGUUGUUCGGAUUUAUUGGGCGUAAAGGGUCUGUAGGAGGUUUGUUAAAUGUGGGGUGAAAUCCGGGGGCUCAACUCCCGAAUUGCCCUGUAGACUGACAGACUAGGGUAUUGGAGAGGUAAGCGGAAUACCAAGUGUAGCGGUGGAAUGCGUAGAUAUUUGGUAGAACACCAAGAGCGAAGGCAGCUUACUGGACAUUGACCGACUCUGAGAGACGAAAGCGUGGGGAGCAAAC
rnacentral:rRNA from 1 species